CACAGGCAUCCGCCUGAGAACUACGAGCAUAAACGCUUAAAACUCUAAGGACUUGGCGGUGCUCUAAACCCACCUAGAGGAGCCUGUUCUAUAAUCGAUAACCCACGAUUCACCCGACCACUUCUUGCCAAAACAGCCUAUAUACCGCCGUCGCCAGCCCACCUCAUGAGAGCACAAUAGUGAGCCCAACAGCCCACAGCCCACUAACAAGACAGGUCGAGGUAUAGCCUAUGGAGUGGAAGAAAUGGGCUACAUUUUCUAAAAUAGAAAACCCAACGAAAGGGGAUUUGAAAUCUAUCCCCAGAAGGCGGAUUUAGCAGUAAAGCAGGACA
rnacentral:rRNA from 1 species